rnacentral:lncRNA from 1 species
AAGAAUGAAAAUAUGUAAGUGUAUUUAUAGAAGGUUUGAGAUAGAGUGAGCUCUGAAGUGGAUGCCACUAAGUUCAAUAACGUUGGACGACACAACUAGCUUCGAGCAUUUUCUUAUAUUAUUAUUGAUUUGUACACUCAGAGUGUUGGAAUUGUGAAUCCUUGAUUAAAUCCUGCAAGAAGAAAAGCUUCAAGUGAGAAGAGAUGAUGAGCAUAACAGAAGAAGCAAAGCGUAGAAGGAAGAUGAAGUUGUCGGAGAGAAGCGUCGGAAGAAGUCAACGACAACAAGACAGAAGCAAAGUCAACAUAAGGAGAUGUUGGGCUUUGUGGUUUUGUAAUAAUGGUACCAUUGGGCUAAAGGAUUAAAUUAGGCCCAAUGAGGAAAUGUGUUAUGUUAGUCUAAGUAGAGUUGCUAGUAGUAGAGUUGUUAAGAGUCCCAAUGAGUAGUGUGGCUACACACAAGUAGUGAGGCUUGUGUAAGAACCUAGAACCUAGAACCUAGAAGUAUGGUGUAUUGUAAGAGUCAUAAUUAGGUCUAAGUGCAAGUGUGCAAGUGUGAUGCAAGUGGAGAAACUAGUAUAUGUAUGUGUGUGUUGUGUUGUAAGAAUGUAUCCAAUCAAUUAUCAAUGUAGAAGAUUAUAGUAAAAUGGUUUUUGUUCUUUCUCUCUAAAGACAAUGAAACCGUAAAUGAGUGUGAAAGAUAGAGAGAUUGUGAGAAUUUCAAC